AUUGAACGCUGGCGGCAGGCCUAAUACAUGCAAGUCGAGCGGAUGAAGGGAGCUCGCUCCUGGAUUCAGCGACGGACGGGUGAGUAAUGCCUAGGAAUCUGACUGGUAGUGGGGGAUAACGUCAGGUAACGGGCGCUAAUACCGCAUACGUCCUGAGGUAGAAAGGGGGGGAUCUUCAGACCUCACGCUAUUAGCUGACCCUAGGUCGGAUUAGCUAGUUGGUGGGGUAAAGGCUUACCAAGGCGACGAUCCGUAACUGGUCUGAGAGGAUGAUCAGCCACACUGGAACUGAGACACGGUCCAGACUCCUACGGGAGGCAGCAGUGGGGAAUAUUGGACAAUGGGCGAAAGCCUGAUCGAGCCAUGCCGCGUGUGUGAAGAAGGUCUUCGGAUUGUAAAGCACUUUAAGUUGGGAGGAAGAGCAGUAAGUGAAUAUCUUGAUGUCUUGACGUUACCAACAGAAUAAGCACCGGCUAACUUCGUG
rnacentral:rRNA from 1 species